rnacentral:tRNA from 1 species
GGGUCCGUAGUCUAGCCCGGAUCAGGACGUCAGCCUGCGGAGCUGGAGGUCCUGGGUUCAAAUCCCAGCGGACCCG